GUGCCAGCAGCCGCGGUAAGACGGAGGGUGCUAGCGUUGUUCGGAAUCACUGGGCGUAAAGGGCGCGUAGGCGGCCUCAGGUGUCGGAUGUGAAAGCCCGGGGCUCAACCCCGGAGGUGCAUCCGAAACUCUGGGGCUGGAGGUCGGAAGAGGAGGGUGGAAUACCCAGUGUAGAGGUGAAAUUCGUAGAUAUUGGGUGGAACACCGGUGGCGAAAGCGGCUCUCUGGUCCGGACCUGACGCUGAGGCGCGAAAGCGUGGGGAGCAAACAGGAUUAGAAACCCGGGUAGUCC
rnacentral:rRNA from 1 species